GUGGGGAAUAUUCCGCAAUGGACGAAAGUCUGACGGAGCAACGCCGCGUGAGUGAUGAAGGUUUUCGGACUGUAAAGCUCUGUUGUUUAGGACGAAAGUGCCUGUUGCAAAUAGUUACAGGUAUUGACGGUACUGAACGAGGAAGCCACGGCUAACUACGUGCCAGCAGCCGCGGUAAUACGUAGGUGGCAAGCGUUGUCCGGAAUUAUUGGGCGUAAAGAGCAUGUAGGCGGGAAUCUAAGUCUGUUGUGAAAAUGCGGGGCUCAACCCCGUAUUGCGAUGGAAACUGGGUUUCUUGAGUGCAGGAGAGGAAAGGGGAAUUCCCAGUGUAGCGGUGAAAUGCGUAGAUAUUGGGAGGAACACCAGUGGCGAAGGCGCCUUUCUGGACUGUGUCUGACGCUGAGAUGCGAAAGCCAGGGUAGCGAACGGGAUUAAAAACCCCUGUAGUCC
rnacentral:rRNA from 1 species